GCCGGGGUGGCGAAAUUGGCAGACGCAAGGGACUUAAAAUCCCUCGGAUAUUUUUAUCCGUGCCGGUUCGACUCCGGCCCUCGGCACUA
rnacentral:tRNA from 1 species